rnacentral:rRNA from 1 species
UGCGUAGGCGGUUCGGCAAGUUCGGUGUGAAAUCUCCUGGCUUAACUGGGAGGGUGCGCCGAAAAACUGCCGGACUAGAGUGUGGGAUAGGGAAGUGGAAUUCCUGGUGUAGCGGUGAAAUGCGUAGAUAUCAGGAGGAACACCUGCGGUGUAGACGGCUUCCUGGACCACUACUGACGCUGAGGCACGAAAGCGUGGGGAGCAAACAGGAUUAGAUACCCUGGUAGUCCACGCCCUAAACGAUGCGGACUUGGUGUUGGCCCUUCAUUGGGUCAGUGCCGCAGCUAACGCGGUAAGUCCGCCGCCUGGGGAGUACGGUCGCAAGGCUGAA